rnacentral:misc_RNA from 1 species
UGGCUCUCGCAUCGAUGAAGAACGCAGCGAAAUGCGAUAAGUAAUGUGAAUUGCAGAAUUCAGUGAAUCAUCGAAUCUUUGAACGCACCUUGCGCCCUUUGGUAUUCCGAUGGGCAUGCCUGUUUGAGUGUCUUGAAAUCAUCAAGCCUGCGGAUUCGCUUCUGCGGCUUGGACUUGGGGGAAUUUGCUGCCUCGCGGUGGCUCCCCUCGAAAGCAUCGGUUGGGCGAUGGUCAGGAUCGGUCCAUUGGCGUUGUAAACCCCUCGCCGUGGCCUCCUCUCCUCCGAAAGCCCUCCCACGACUCGCCUGUGGAGCGGCAGUCAGCACAAAUGAAAUCUGACCUCAAAUCAGGUAGGACUACCCGCUGA